AUUGAACGCUAGCGGGAGGCCUAAUACAUGCAAGUCGAACGGCAGCAAUUCGGUUGGCGAGUGGCGCACGGGUGAGUAACGCGUACACUACCUACCUUGUACUGAGGAAUAGCCCUGGGAAACUGGGAGUAAUACCUCAUAGUAUCGCAAGAUUAAAGCUACGGCGGUACAAGAUGGGUGUGCGUCUGAUUAGCUAGUUGGUGAGGUAACGGCUCACCAAGGCGACGAUCAGUAGGGGGCGUGAGAGCGUGGCCCCCCACACGGGUACUGAGACACGGACCCGACUCCUACGGGAGGCAGCAGUAAGGAAUAUUGGGCAAUGGAGGCAACUCUGACCCAGCCAUCCCGCGUGCAGGAUGACGGCCCUAUGGGUUGUAAACUGCUUUUAUAUAAGAAGAAAGGUAUGUAUUUAUAUGUAUUUGACGGUACUAUAUGAAUAAGCACCGGCUAACUCCG
rnacentral:rRNA from 1 species